rnacentral:rRNA from 1 species
UUUACCCGCUGAAAUUUAAGCAUAUCACUAAGGGGGAAGAACCAAAAGGCGAUCCCCUGGUUUUAGCGAUGCCGCGUAAUGGGAGAAUAACGGUACCGUCUUAAGUCAGGUUCUUAAAUGUAUCUUGAGGGGUGUAUAGACAACGCUAUUUAUUUCUUUUUGUUUUUUGUCUAACCAUGGAAGGUGGUAGCCCUGUAAAGAUGUGACUUUCGACGUACCCGUUCUCCUAAAGAGUAAGGUUGCUUGUAAUUACAACCCGAAGUAGGUGGUACAUUCCAUCUAAGGCUAAAUACCCUUACGAGACCGAUAGCGAACAAGACCGAGAGGGAAAGUUGAAAAGUACUCCUGGAAGAGAA